GCACCCCCGGCCGGGGCCCCGGCAGCCCGCCUUCCCCGGAUCCCCCAGCCGCGCGACUUCAAACGCGGCUUCCUCGCCUCCCAGACCUGUCUCCGCUACUGAGCAUGCCCAGUCCUGCCCGCCACCGCCGCCGCCACCGCCGCCGCCACCGCCGAGCUUCAACAUGGGGACUGAAGUUCUCUGGCUUUGCAAAGGAGAGAUGGGCGGGUUGGGCUUCGUAUGGCGGAGCGAGCCGAGAGGGGACUGGGCUAGGCCGGCGCGAGAGGAGCGAGAAGCUUCGGGAGGAACGUGCGGGGAAGACAAAUAUCUGUAGAGAGGAGUCAGAGGCCUCGGUGCGUUCAGCAGCAGCCAGGGCUCGCACCUUGAUCGGAAUUCCUUCCAGCAGAGCCUGACCUAGAAUCAGAGCUUUGGUCCAUUCACACAUUUUUUCAGCUAAGGAAACGGAGCCACAGAGGGAUGGCUGAGGAUUUAAAAAAAAAAUGCAGAUGGUCCUUCCUUGGAGCAACAAUGAAUGAAACAAAGUAUGUCACCAAUGCCAUGGAAGGGAAUUCCAGAGGACUCCAGAGAGUGAGAAAUGAUGGAAUAGGAAGACAGAGGAGGAAGAUGGUGCUGAGAUGGAUGUUAAGACAUGCUUCAGAGAGGAAAUGACCCGUAAACUGAAUUUUGAACAAUAAUGGGAUUUCAUCAUGGAAGGUGGAAGGAAUUCCAUUCAGAACUGAGGGAGUGGAGACUCUGCAGGUGUUUUGAAACCAUCUGGCAUGUUUGGGAACCUGCCAGGAGUUCAACAAGGCUGAAACACAACCUACGAAGGGAGGAGAGAUUCGCAUGGGGCACCUCACACAAGACACUAUUUUCGAGGACAGUGCUACUCUCAAUGACCCUGCUUCUCAUGCUGCUUUCUUCAGGACCCCGGGGAGGAGCGCUGCUGCAGGCAGUCAGAGGCCACCAAAAGCAAACGCACGCUGCUCUGGUUCUGUGGGUCCUAUGCUUACGUGCUCAGAUCCUUUGCCUGCCGUACCUCUACCCUGCUGCUGGCUCCUGAAGGCCGGCUCUCUCAGCGUCCAGGGGCAGCUGUCUUCCAGCUGGCUUAGUCAAUGGGAGGCGCUGGUGAGAAUGGCAGAGUUGUCUUCUCCUUCCCUUGCUGCCUUGGGAGGCAUCUCCCCGAAGCUGCUGCCCCUCUUCUGAGUCUCCAGCAGGUAUGGGACAUGCCUGUCUUGACUUUUUCUUCUGCUGGGUGAUCGUAACUCCUGGGAUCUGAUGAUACCACCUUCUCGCUGCGUCUUGCCAGCCUAAGGAUGGUGGUGGCUUCUUGCUGUUGCUAAAGUCUGUGCUGCCUCGCUGUCCUCUGAUUAGCUUCGCUGCCUCUUCUUUCCUGUACCAACCCCCUCUUUUGAGGGAUGUUUUACAAUAGACCAUCUGUGAUAUUGACUUAGGAUUGGGCCUAGGACCAUACCUGAAAAUAGUUUUGUUCUUUUUUUUUGCGGUACGCAGGCCUCUCACUGCUGUGGCCUCUCCCGUUGCGGAGCACAGGCUCCGGACGCGCAGGCUCAGUGGCCAUGGCUCAUGGGCCCAGCCGCUCCACGGCACGUGGGAUCUUCCCGGACCGGGGCACGAUCCCGCGUCCCCUGCAUCGGUAGGCGGACUCUCAACCACUGCGCCACCAGGGAAGCCCCUGAAAAUAGUUUUAACCACUUCCCUUGGCAUCCAUUUCUGGUCCACCCUUCAGGCAUGUUUAGAUAUGACAUUCAUUAUUCCAUUAUGGAUGGGUAUAUUUGUGUCAUCAAUGCAACCCCCAGAAAAUUAAAAUUUAUUUGUCAUAUCAGCUAGUCUGCAGUCAUCCAACAGCUGAAAUAAUGUAUUUAAAAGUUCUGGAAUCUCCGAGGAAACCUUAAGCUGCCCAUUGGUCAUAAUAACAUUUAGCAUGUUAAAUUAGUACAGUGGCAAUUUUAUUAGUCAGCAUACUUAAUACUAGGUUCUGUAAUAAAUAAAUCCAAAAUCUCAGCGACUUAAUACGAUAAAAGUGUAUUUGUUGUUCACAAAGAGUUCAAUGUUCUCAGCUGGGGGUGUCUGCUCUGUGCAGUUAAUUAGGAAACUCGUGUUGCCCUAGAUGUUGACAUCAGCUAGCAGAGGAGUGACAACAGAGAGGAAUGUGGAGGUGUUUUAGGAACCAAGACUGGAAACAGCACACAUCAACUUUGUCCACAUCUCAUUGGCCAGAACUCAGUCACGUGCCCCUCCACCCACCCACCCCAAUUGCAGGAGAGCCUGAGAAAUAUAGUUUAAAUUAAUGCCUGGGAAGAAAAAGAAAUGACCUGGGAAAACACAUGGUCAGUCUCCGCCACUAUUUUCCCUUUUGGUCAAUAACUUUCCAUUUCAUCCUUCCUCCCACUUACAGAAUAAACUCCUCUCCACCCAACCCGCUAGAACAUUAUCGGAAGUCACUGCUGAAUCCAGCUCAAAGCCCUGGGUGAUGCUCAGUCAGCUCUAUCUGGUUCACAUGUGGUUCUUUUUGUUUGAGAAAUUUGUAAAGUAAAAAGAGGAGUCAUCUGCCCCCUGCUCCUUUCUCCUCCCCAAAUAUACACUGGUAGGCAGAGACAAGGAACUUCGGUGUCCCAUACGGAAAGGGAAGAAAUGAAAGACAGAAAGCCGACAGUGGUUCAAAGCGGUAGGUCAGGCACUGUGACAUCUCCCUGACCAGGAAGCACUGGGAAAUGUCUUUGACUGGACUCUGUUUCUCCUCUACGAGAGGCAUUGUUUUGUCCAUAUUUUUCUGUGACCCCUGGUUCCACUCUUCAGGAAUUCUCUUCGUUGUUCAUUAUCCUCUGUGGCAAUAUCUGAAGUGGGUGAUAAGAGGGUAAAUUAUUUCCGGGACUAUGCAGAUUUUGGAGUCUGCUUCCUUCUCAUGGAAAACUGGGAGUCCAAAGCUGGUUGUUGUUUCCUGCCUUAACUAGGCUUUGUCCCAGACUUCUGUUUUCUUUGGAAAUACUAUUUCCUCAGAAACCUAACAGGCUUCCCAUUGAUUUCCUUCUAGACAGUUCCUCUGCCACAAACUACAGCCCAAACACUUUCCUAGACAUAGUUCUCAAUAUCCUUUCUGUCUUUGUUCCCUUAUCCUCAUGCCUCCCUCUUUUUACUGGCAGCCACCUUGAUGCUAUCAGGUUGAAAGGGAAAGCCACGUGUGACGUGGCUUGUGCCAAGAGGUGGUGGUGACUGAGCAGUCCUGUGUUGCUCACAGUUUUCUCACUCUUAUUUUCUACUAUUUGGGGUCUAGAAGUAGUCUACUUCAAGACCCCCAAUUUAUGUAAUUUUCCUAUUUUCUUUCAUUUCUUGCUGCAAACUACCAAAACUUGCCAGUCACUUGUGGCCAAAAUGCACUAACAGUUUGAUUCCUUCCAACUGCUUCUCUUGGAGCCAGCAGUCUGUAAGCAUAUGGCCUUCCUCUCAAGAGAGAAUUUUUGCCAAGUGUUUUGCCAUGCACAGCAUGGAUUGCCACCUUUUCUGCCUCUGGGAUCAGUUUCCUUUCUUCCCACAACUGGCACGCUAAGCCAGUGCCACUUAUUUUAGGUUUUGGGUUUUUUUUUUAGGAGUACCCCACUUCGAGGUCCCAUUUGUGGCUUUUGUUAUAGUAUUAUUGCUAGUUGCAUAAAAAGAACUUCCAAAUCUCAAUCUCAGUACCUUAAGACAGCAAACGCAAUCAAAUUCAUUUCUCACUCCACAGUCCAGAUUAGGGGUGAGGGCGAGUGUGGAGAGAGGGAACUCUGCACCGUGCAGUCAGAGAUGAGGCUAACAGAGGCUCUACCAUCUUCAGUGCAUGACUCGCAAAGGUGCUCUGAGUAUGGAUAUCCAGCCAGCAGCUGGAAGAGGACAGAGAGCGUGGACAAUCACAUGGAUGUUUUAGGAGUUAGGUCUAUGAGAGGUGCAUCACUCUGCACACGUUUCAUUUGUCAAAAGCCAAUGAUAUUGCACAGGAGCUGAGUAGGUUACAUAAGUGAGUUGAAUGGGAACCAGGAUGAAUUCAGGAAGUGCAUAUUCUUUCUAAGUGAGUGGUAGCCAUUCAACUCCAACUAAUUACUGUCAUGCGGGAAUGCAGGGUUGCCAGAUCUGAUCUUUCUAGAGCAGCCAGAAAUCCAGAUUCCUAUGUGAAGUCUUGUGAUGUUUAAAUGUUCGUGUGAUAAGACAGUCCCUGAGAUGAUCUCCAAUGAUCUCGUGUAGUCACUUGUGUAGUCACAAGUGACUGUAUGUCCUUGUGUCGUCACUUACACAACGUAUAUCAUUGUGUCAGGGCUGGUCUGAGUGACCAAUAAAAUAUGACGGGAUUGAUGAUAUGUGACCUACUUCCAAGGUUAGGUCAUAAAACAUAUGAAAGACUGUCUUGCUUUCUCUGGGAUUACUCACACUAGGGGAGGUCAGCCACUGUGAAAUGAGGACAGUCAAGCAGUCUGUGAAGAGGCCUACAUGGGGUAUAACUGAGGUCUCCCAUCAACAGUCAGCACCAUCAUGCCAAUCAUGUGAGUAAGCCACCUUGAAAGUGAAUCAUCCAUCCCUAGUCAAGCCUUCAGAUGAUACAGCCCCAGCCAACAUUACAUCUGCAACUUCACAGGAGACCAUGAGACAGAACCACCCAGCUAAGACACUGAGAUAAUAGACACUGAGAUUAUUGUGUUUUAAGCCACUAUUUUUUUUUUUUAUAUUUUGUUGCUCAGCAAUAGGUAACUGAUAAUGGUCAUGGUCAUAACUCACUUUAAAAAAUUUUUAAAGUUAAACAUUGUGUAUAAAAAAAUUUCCUUCUGCUGAAUUCAGGCUACCAGUCUAUAAUAUCUAUAGAGAAGAAAGCAAGAAACAGUGGGCUUCCAUUUUCUGAUUCUUGCUUGCUUUGAACUGAACUUUUCAAGCAUCAUAAAUCCAAGAGGAAAAAUGAUUUAAUGAACUGCAUUACUUUUGCCAGAUUCAGAAGGACUUGUGUUCAAACAUGACUCCACUACUUACUAGUUAUGAGACCUUGGAAAAUUUACUUAACCUCUUUUGGCUACAGUUUCCUUAUUUGGAAAAGAGGAAUAACAACAGAAGUACUUCUCAGGAAAAAUUGUGAAAUACUCUGAAAUGAGUAUAAGAAAAGAUUAGUGGGUGUCCUAUCUAGUUUAUUCAUCCAGAUUAUCUCUGCAUUUCACUGUCUUUGAGUUAUUUCACAACUCUAUAAUUUGUAGAAAACAGAGUAAUGCAAUUUUUUUU